GCUCGUUUUAACGUUCACAGGG
rnacentral:miRNA from 1 species